rnacentral:rRNA from 1 species
UGGCGGCGUGCUUAACACAUGCAAGUCGAAGGAGAAGGCACUUUCGGGUGCUGGGAACUGGCGAACGGGUGAGUAACACGUAGCUGAUCUACCCUCAAGAGACGGAUAACAUCUGGAGACAGGUGCUAAUACGGCAUAAGCUCACGAUCGUUAGAGGGAUUGUGAGAAAAGGCAUUAUGGAGUGCUUGAGGAUGAGGCUGCGAACCAUCAGCUAGUUGGUGAGGUAAAGGCUCACCAAGGCAACGACGGUUAGGGGACCUGAGAGGGUGACCCCCCACACUGGGACUGAGACA